UACGGCUACAUCUCGUUGAAACAUCAGUUCCCAUACGAUCACCGAAGUUAAGCAAUUUCAAAUCUGGUCAGUAUCUAGGUGGGUGACUGUUUGGGAAAUACCAGGUGCA